UUCAUUAGAAGUGGACCUUAUAUGUGCAAAUGUGGUGACAGGACUAGUUAUAGAUGGAACAGAUUAAACAGGAAUUCAAACAGGUUGUAGAAAUCCACUGUUUUUUUUGCCCAAAUGAAUCUAAAGCUAGUUUUGCAGCAGCUGAAGGGUUCAAAUUCAAACUGUCUGAACUAUUAGUGUCCAAAUACACAAAGAAAUGAAGCACAGACUAAGAACAGUGGGUUCAGACAAAUAUGAGCACUUUAAGAGAAAAUUAUAACAGUGA